GUAACAAGGUUUCCGUAGGUGAACCUGCGGAAGGAUCAUUGUCGAAUCCUGCAUAGCAGACCCUUCGCGAACACGUAUUAUUCAUAUCAAGGCCGCCCUAGCGUGGGAGACCGCGUUUUGACGGCCGGUCGUCGCGUACGAUUCACAACAACCGGGCGCCGAGAAGCGCCAAGGAAAACUCAACAAGGAACGUCCGCCCUCUGCGCGUCCCGUACGCGGCGAUGGCGGGAGGAUCGCGGAUGCCCAACGAAACAAAAACGACUCUCGGCAACGGAUAUCUCGGCUCUCGCAUCGAUGAAGAACGUAGCGAACUGCGAUACUUGGUGUGAAUUGCAGAAUCCCGUGAACCAUCGAGUCUUUGAACGCAAGUUGCGCCCGAAGCCUGUUGGCCGAGGGCACGUCUGCCUGGGCGUCACGCAUUGCGUCGCCCCAUCCCACCUCGGAUGGGGCGGAGAAUGGCCUCCCGUGCCCGUACGCGGCUGGCCUAAAGACGAGUCCCUCACGACAGACGCGACGGCUGGUGGUGGUUGACAAACUCAACUGGGCGAAGCCGUCCGUGAUCUGUCGCGUUCGGAGACUGUCCGACCCUACGGUACAAAGCGUGCCACGACCGCGACCCCAGGUCAGGCGGGACUACCCGCUGAGUUUAAGCAUAUCAAU
rnacentral:rRNA from 1 species